rnacentral:rRNA from 1 species
AAGGGUCUCGUAGGUGACCUGCGGAGGGACAUUACACAAAUAUGAAGGCGGGCUGGAACCUCUCGGGGUUACAGCCUUGCUGAAUUAUUCACCCUUGUCUUUUGCGUACUUCUUGUUUCCUUGGUGGGUUCGCCCACCACUAGGACAAACAUAAACCUUUUGUAAUUGCAAUCAGCGUCAGUAACAAAUUAAUAAUUACAACUUUCAACAACGGAUCUCUUGGUUCUGGCAUCGAUGAAGAACGCAGCGAAAUGCGAUAAGUAGUGUGAAUUGCAGAAUUCAGUGAAUCAUCGAAUCUUUGAACGCACAUUGCGCCCUUUGGUAUUCCAAAGGGCAUGCCUGUUCGAGCGUCAUUUGUACCCUCAAGCUUUGCUUGGUGUUGGGCGUCUUGUCUCUAGCUUUGCUGGAGACUCGCCUUAAAGUAAUUGGCAGCCGGCCUACUGGUUUCGGAGCGCAGCACAAGUCGCACUCUCUAUCAGCAAAGGUCUAGCAUCCAUUAAGCCUUUUUUUCAACUUUUGACCUCGGAUCAGGUAGGGAUACCCGCUGAACUUAA